CCUCCAGGAGGCUGUGCUUGCAGACUCCACGGAGCCUCUCUCAAGAUUUCCUGAACCUUGUGGAUUUACAGUAAGACGAAGUUCCCUGGGGAG
rfam:Rattus norvegicus strain BN; Sprague-Dawley chromosome 7 CRA_213000034361973, whole genome shotgun sequence.